UCGGUUAAUUUAAACCGAAAUAGAACAAAACAUAUACAAACCAAAGUCAAAAUACUUACAAAACGAAUAUUUUUUAGGUUUAAGGCUUUCUAAAGCUAUGUUAUUAUUGGACUGGACAAAAUAUUAACAAUAUAAGCCCAAAUCCAUAUUUUUUAUGAACCCACAUAUUUUGAGUUUUGACCUAGCCACAUGAGGGCCGCCGGAUCCGUUGGUGACGACUGCUGUUGGUGACGACUGCCGCCUCCGUUGGUGACUUACGAACUUAUAAUGAAGGUAAGAAUAACCAUGGAAGUUGAGAGGUAGCAAUAAAAAGCCUGAACAAAAGGAGAAGAGAGUGGCAAAGGAGAAGAGACUUGUGUAGAGAAACACUAGAAAGAAAGGGAG
rnacentral:lncRNA from 1 species